GCAGUGGCGGGUCAGUGGUAGACUUCUCAUCUUCCAUGCAGGAGUCUCAGGUUCAAUUCCUGACCAAUGCA
rnacentral:tRNA from 1 species